CACUGAGAAAAAAUUUUACCACCCUAUGGAAACUAACCCUUUUAUUCAGGAUAAGACUCAUGUCAUACUCAGGUAAACUAACGUAUUUACCAACGAUGCCUUAGUUCGUUCGUAGCUCCUGCGAUGGUGUGAGGCAGUACUCAUCGAUGCUUGGUAUUUGUGCUCAGGAUCAUGAGUAUGUGGUUAGUAAUCUAGCCGUGAGUAUGCUUCCAGCUCGCUGAUUGGUUGAGCCGAUGUGGCACAGCCGCGCACGUUUCGCGCGCGUCUGCCAUUAUUUCAGUUGAAUUCCGUUGCUUGGUGGUGAAGGUGCGUCGCUCGCGUGUGCAGCAUUUUAUGGACGUGGUGUGCAGAAACUGAAACUCGGAUUCCGAGGCCAAUAUUUCUUUUGGAUAUACCACCGCACUGCUGCCGGGGCUGGUGCCGGUACAGACGCUCGCCCCGAUCGACGCCGGAUGCUCGCCGCCGGGUGGCUUCAGAAUGUGAAGUCUGCCUGCUCCUGUUCGAUAGGUAAAGUUUCGGAGACACUGGUGCGUCUUCUGGAAACUGCAGUCUCAAGGAUGGUGACGGAGAAAGUACGCCCAUGGUUUUCCAGUCCCUCGCGCUACUGAGCCAAAAUACCAGCACCCUUCGAGCUGCAGUGCGCCGAUCUCGCGGUAGGAAGCGGUUCAAAAACUAAGCGAUCUCGCGCAGUGUUUGCGAUCUAUGGGAGUGUUUCAUUGUUUUUUUUUUACGGACUUCUUUUAGUGUUGUGUUUAACGGAUUACGCCCCGUACCCGGCUCUUGAAUUGCAUGUUGGCAGAGAUGUC
rnacentral:lncRNA from 1 species